AGAGUUUUAUCCUGGCUCAGGAUGAACGCUGGCUGCGUGCUUAACACAUGCAAGUCGAACGAAGCACUUUAUUACGAUUUCUUCGGAAUGACGGUUUAGUGACUGAGUGGCGGACGGGUGAGUAACGCGUGGGUAACCUGCCUUAUACAGGGGGAUAACAGUUAGAAAUGACUGCUAAUACCGCAUAAGCGCACAGGAUUGCAUGAUCUGGUGUGAAAAACUCCGGUGGUAUAAGAUGGACCCGCGUCUGAUUAGCUGGUUGGUGAGGUAACGGCCCACCAAGGCGACGAUCAGUAGCCGACCUGAGAGGGUGACCGGCCACAUUGGGACUGAGACACGGCCCAAACUCCUACGGGAGGCAGCAGUGGGGAAUAUUGCACAAUGGGGGAAACCCUGAUGCAGCGACGCCGCGUGAGCGAAGAAGUAUUUCGGUAUGUAAAGCUCUAUCAGCAGGGAAGAAAAAAAUGACGGUACCUGACUAAGAAGCCCCGGCUAACUACGUGCCAGCAGCCGCGGUAAUGCGUAGGGGGCAAGCGUUAUCCGGAUUUACUGGGUGUAAAGGGAGCGCAGGCGGUGCGGCAAGUCUGAUGUGAAAGCCCGGGGCUCAACCCCGGGACUGCAUUGGAAACUGUCGUACUUGAGUAUCGGAGAGGUAAGUGGAAUUCCUAGUGUAGCGGUGAAAUGCGUAGAUAUUAGGAGGAACACCAGUGGCGAGGGCGGCUUACUGGGACGAUAACUGACGCUGAGGCUGGAAAGCGUGGGAGCAAACAGGAUUAGAUACCCUGGUAGUCCACACUGUAAACGAUGAUUACUAGGUGUUGGAGGAUUGACCCCUUCAGUGCCGCAGUUAACACAAUAAGUAAUCCCACCUGGGGAGUACGACCGCAAGGUUGAAACUCAAAGGAAUUGACGGGGGCCCGCACAAGCAGUGGAGUAUGUGGUUUAAUUCGACGCAACGCGAAGAACCUUACCAAGUCUUGACAUCCUGCGACGCACAUAGAAAUAUGUGUUUCCUUCGGGACGCAGAGACAGGUGGUGCAUGGUUGUCGUCAGCUCGUGUCGUGAGAUGUUGGGUUAAGUCCCGCAACGAGCGCAACCCUUAUGGUCAGUUACUACGCAAGAGGACUCUGGCCAGACUGCCGUUGACAAAACGGAGGAAGGUGGGGAUGACGUCAAAUCAUCAUGCCCUUUAUGACUUGGGCUACACACGUACUACAAUGGCGUUAAACAAAGAGAAGCAAGACCGCGAGGUGGAGCAAAACUCAGAAACAACGUCCCAGUUCGGACUGCAGGCUGCAACUCGCCUGCACGGAGUCGGAAUUGCUAGUAAUCGCAGAUCAGCAUGCUGCGGUGAAUACGUUCCCGGGCCUUGCACACACCGCCCGUCA
rnacentral:rRNA from 1 species